UACAGAGGGUGCAAGCGUUGUUCGGAAUCAUUGGGCGUAAAGGGCGCGUAGGCGGGCUGGCAAGUCCGUGGUGAAAUCCUCCGGCUCAACCGGAGAACGGCCUCGGAUACUGGCGGCCUCGAGGGGGAUAGGGGCGUGCGGAACUGUGGGUGGAGCGGUGAAAUGCGUUGAUAUCCGCAGGAACUCCGGUGGCGAAGGCGGCACGCUGGAUCCUCUCUGACGCUGAGGCGCGAAAGCCAGGGGAGCGAACGGG
rnacentral:rRNA from 1 species